rnacentral:rRNA from 1 species
GACGAACGCUGGCGGCGUGCUUAACACAUGCAGGUCGAACGGAAAGGCCCUGCUUUUGUGGGGUGCUCGAGUGGCGAACGGGUGAGUAACACGUGAGUAACCUGCCCUUGACUUUGGGAUAACUUCAGGAAACUGGGGCUAAUACCGGAUAGGAGCUCCUGCUGCAUGGUGGGGGUUGGAAAGUUUCGGCGGUUGGGGAUGGACUCGCGGCUUAUCAGCUUGUUGGUGGGGUAGUGGCUUACCAAGGCUUUGACGGGUAGCCGGCCUGAGCGGGUGACCGGCCACAAUGGGACUGAGAGACGGCCCAGACUCCUACGGGAGGCAGCAGUGGGGAAUAUUGCACAAUGGGCGGAAGCCUGAUGCAGCAACGCCGCGUGCGGGAUGACGGCCUUCGGGUUGUAAACCGCUUUCGCCUGUGACGAAGCGUGAGUGACGGUAAUGGGUAAAGAAGCACCGGCUAACUACGUG